CGUAGGUGCAAGCGUUGUCCGGAUUUAUGGUUUAAAGGGUGCGUAGGCGGCCCUGUAAGUCAGUGGUGAAAUACUCCAGCUUAGCUGGAGGGUGCCAUUGAUACUGCAGGGCUUGAGUUAAGUUGAAGUUGGCGGAAUUGACGGUGUAGCGGUGAAAUGCUUAGAUAUCGUCAAGAACACCGAUAGUGAAGACAGCUAACUAAACUUUUACUGACGCUGAGGCACGAAAGUGUGGGGAUCAAACAGGAUUAGAUACCCUGGUAGUCCACACUGUAAACGUUGAUUACUCGCUGUGUGCGAUAUACAGUACGCGGCCAAGCGAAAGCGAUAAGUAAUCCACCUGGGGAGUACGCCGGCAACGGUG
rnacentral:rRNA from 1 species